GACGAACGCUGGCGGCGUGCUUAACACAUGCAAGUCGAACGGAAAGGCCCUGCUCUUGUGGGGUGCUCGAUUGGCGAACGGGUGUGUAACACGUGAGUAUCCUGUCCUUGACUUUGUGAUAUCUUCAGGAAACUGGGGCUAAUAUCGGAUAGGAUCUCCUGCUGCAUGGUGGGGGUUGGAAAGUUUCGGCGGUUGGGGAUGGACUCGCGGCUUAUCAGCUUGUUGGUGAGGUAGUGGCUUACCAAGCCUGCGACGGGUAGCCGGCCUGGGAGGGUGACCGGCCACAAUGGGACUGAGAGAGGGACCAGACGGCAACGGGAGGCAGCGGGGGGGAAUAUUGCACAAUGGGCGGGAGCCUGAUGCGACGACGCCGGGAGCGGGAUGACGGCCUUCGAGUUGUGAACCGCUUUGGCCUGUGACGAGGCGUGAGUGACGGUAAUGGGUAAAAAAGCACCGGCUAACUACGUG
rnacentral:rRNA from 1 species